rnacentral:rRNA from 1 species
CGCGUAGGCGGAUUAGAAAGUUGGGGUGAAAUCCCAGGGCUCAACCCUGGAACUGCCUCCAAAACUACUAGUCUAGAGUUCGAGAGAGGUGAGUGGAAUUCCGAGUGUAGAGGUGAAAUUCGUAGAUAUUCGGAGGAACACCAGUGGCGAAGGCGGCUCACUGGCUCGAUACUGACGCUGAGGUGCGAAAGUGCGGGGAGCAAACA